CCACACUCACUCCAGGUGAAACCACACAUUUCCUUUCCCCUCUGCAUGGGCACAGCCUGGCACAGUCUGAUGGUGCCACAGCAGAGCUCAUCUGUCACCCACACCCCAGCGAGGCUCUGCCCCUGCCAUCAGCUGUGACACAGCCCAGAAAACACCCAAGGAACAGCCCAAACCAAGGCCCAGCCUCCCUGCAGAGCUGGGAAGAGUCCAAAAGACGCAGCCAGCCCUGGGGUGGGUGUAGGACAGCUGGAUGUGGGCUCCUGACAGCCCCAGCUAAGGCUGAGAGGUUCCUUCAGGUAAGAGAACCCCCCCUGUCCCUUCACUGCCUCCCACCCCAACACUGGACCCAGGGCAUGAAGAAAAAGCCAGUCCCUGGUUUUCUGCCCCACAAAACAGCAUCUACUCAGGUCCAGCUGCAGCCCUGAGGGCCAAAAGCAGCUUCUACUCAGUGCAGGUGGAUACAGCUUUACCACAAAGUUCCAUUUCCCCCCCUUCUCCUUCCCCCCAUAGGGCACAGCAGAACAAGCCCAGGAUCAGCAGCUGUCAGGCCAAACCCAGACCAGUCCCACCAGUUCCAUAACUUACAAGGAAACAGAUAAGCUACAGAGAGCUGCGAGUCCUGGAGUAUUUACACCGAGGAGGGGCAGGAACAGGAGACAAAGCAACACAGGCCAAGAGGUAUUUACAGCACGGACACACCGACCCCCCUCACCUCACAAGAACAGCAGCAGCAACAGCAGGUCAGGCCCGUGGUGCUCCUAGGCCGACAGAGAAUCUGGGCUAUUUACAGUAUCUCACAUAUUAACAGCUUUACAAACGUGUCCAGGAAGUUCAUCUCAUGUUUAUAUAUAUAUAUAAAAAAAAAAGCACCAAGUGUCUGAAUAGAAA